GACGGGGCCCGCACAAGGCGGCGGAGCAUGCGGAUUUAAUUCGAUGCAACGCGAAGAACCUUACCAAGGCUUGACAUACACCGGUAACGCCCAGAGAUGGGUGCCCCUUUGUGGUCGGUGGGCAGGUGGUGCAUGGUUGUCGUCAGCUCGUGUCGUGAGAUGUUGGGUUAAGUCCCGCAACGAGCGCAACCCUCGUCCUAUGUUGCCAGCGGGUCAUGCCGGGGACUCAUGGGAGACUGCCGGGGUCAACUCGGAGGAAGGUGGGAUGACGUCAAAUCAUCAUGCCCCUUAUGUCUUGGGCUUCACGCAUGCUACAAUGGCCGGUACAAAGGGCUGCGAUACCGCGAGGUGGAGCGAAUCCCAGAAAGCCGGUCUCAGUUCGGAUUGGAGUCUGCAACUCGACUCCAUGAAGUUGGAAUCGCUAGUAAUCGCGGAUCAGCAUGCCGCGGUGAAUACGUUCCCGGGCCUU
rnacentral:rRNA from 1 species